UGUAAAAUUUUAAUAGUCGAACAGACUAAAUUUAUAAACAUCUACAUUUAUAAUUUAUUUUAAUUCAACAUCGAGGUCGCAAACAAUUUUUUCAAUUUGAUCUUUCCAAAAAUAUUACGCUGUUAUCCCUAAGGUAAUUUAUUUUUUUAUUAUACAAAAUAAUAUAUUUCAAUUAAAAUCUAUAAAUCAAUAUUUUUAAAAUUUUAAAGUUAAUUAAAUCUAAAAAUCCUCCCAAUCAAAUAUAUUAUUAAAAUUUAUAAAAUUUAUAAUAUAUAAAAUUCUAUAGGGUCUUAUCGUCCCUUAAAUAAAAUUAAGCAUUUUAACUUAAAAUUUAAAUUUAUUUUAUAUAAUUGAGACAGUUUAUAUUUCAUUAAUUCAUUCAUUCUAGCCUUCAAUUAAAAGACAAAUGAUUAUGCUACCUUUGUACAGUUAAAAUACUGCAGCUAUUUAAUUUUUAUCAUUGAGCAGAACUGACUUUAUAUUAAAAUCAAAAAGAC
rnacentral:rRNA from 1 species